UUAAGCGACUAAGCGUACACGGUGGAUGCCCUGGCAGUCAGAGGCGAUGAAGGACGUGCUAAUCUGCGAUAAGCGUCGGUAAGGUGAUAUGAACCGUUAUAACCGGCGAUUUCCGAAUGGGGAAACCCAGUGUGUUUCGACACACUAUCAUUAACUGAAUCCAUAGGUUAAUGAGGCGAACCGGGGGAACUGAAACAUCUAAGUACCCCGAGGAAAAGAAAUCAACCGAGAUUCCCCCAGUAGCGGCGAGCGAACGGGGAGGAGCCCAGAGCCUGAAUCAGUGUGUGUGUUAGUGGAAGCGUCUGGAAAGGCGCGCGAUACAGGGUGACAGCCCCGUACACAAAAAUACACAUAUUGUGAGCUCGAUGAGUAGGGCGGGACACGUGGUAUCCUGUCUGAAUAUGGGGGGACCAUCCUCCAAGGCUAAAUACUCCUGACUGACCGAUAGUGAACCAGUACCGUGAGGGAAAGGCGAAAAGAACCCCGGCGAGGGGAGUGAUAAAGAACCUGAAACCGUGUACGUACAAGCAGUGGGAGCACGCUUAGGCGUGUGACUGCGUACCUUUUGUAUAAUGGGUCAGCGACUUAUAUUCUGUAGCAAGGUUAACCGAAUAGGGGAGCCGAAGGGAAACCGAGUCUUAACUGGGCGUUAAGUUGCAGGGUAUAGACCCGAAACCCGGUGAUCUAGCCAUGGGCAGGUUGAAGGUUGGGUAACACUAACUGGAGGACCGAACCGACUAAUGUUGAAAAAUUAGCGGAUGACUUGUGGCUGGGGGUGAAAGGCCAAUCAAACCGGGAGAUAGCUGGUUCUCCCCGAAAGCUAUUUAGGUAGCGCCUCGUGAAUUCAUCUCCGGGGGUAGAGCACUGUUUCGGCAAGGGGGUCAUCCCGACUUACCAACCCGAUGCAAACUGCGAAUACCGGAGAAUGUUAUCACGGGAGACACACGGCGGGUGCUAACGUCCGUCGUGAAGAGGGAAACAACCCAGACCGCCAGCUAAGGUCCCAAAGUCAUGGUUAAGUGGGAAACGAUGUGGGAAGGCCCAGACAGCCAGGAUGUUGGCUUAGAAGCAGCCAUCAUUUAAAGAAAGCGUAAUAGCUCACUGGUCGAGUCGGCCUGACGCGGAAGAUGUAACGGGGCUAAACCAUGCACCGAAGCUGCGGCAGCGACGCUUAUGCGUUGUUGGGUAGGGGAGCGUUCUGUAAGCCUGCGAAGGUGUGCUGUGAGGCAUGCUGGAGGUAUCAGAAGUGCGAAUGCUGACAUAAGUAACGAUAAAGCGGGUGAAAAGCCGCUCGCCGGAAGACCAAGGGUUCCUGUCCAACGUUAAUCGGGGCAGGGUGAGUCGACCCCUAAGACGAGGCCGAAAGGCGUAGUCGAUGGGAAACAGGUUAAUAUUCCUGUACUUGGUGUUACUGCGAAGGGGGGACGGAGAAGGCUAUGUUGGCCGGGCGACGGUUGUCCCGGUUUAAGCGUGUAGGCUGGUUUUCCAGGCAAAUCCGGAAAAUCAAGGCUGAGGCGUGAUGACGAGGCACUACGGUGCUGAAGCAACAAAUGCCCUGCUUCCAGGAAAAGCCUCUAAGCAUCAGGUAACAUCAAAUCGUACCCCAAACCGACACAGGUGGUCAGGUAGAGAAUACCAAGGCGCUUGAGAGAACUCGGGUGAAGGAACUAGGCAAAAUGGUGCCGUAACUUCGGGAGAAGGCACGCUGAUAUGUAGGUGAAGUCCCUUGCGGAUGGAGCUGAAAUCAGUCGAAGAUACCAGCUGGCUGCAACUGUUUAUUAAAACACAGCACUGUGCAAACACGAAAGUGGACGUAUACGGUGUGACGCCUGCCCGGUGCCGGAAGGUUAAUUGAUGGGGUCAGCGCAAGCGAAGCUCUUGAUCGAAGCCCCGGUAAACGGCGGCCGUAACUAUAACGGUCCUAAGGUAGCGAAAUUCCUUGUCGGGUAAGUUCCGACCUGCACGAAUGGCGUAAUGAUGGCCAGGCUGUCUCCACCCGAGACUCAGUGAAAUUGAACUCGCUGUGAAGAUGCAGUGUACCCGCGGCAAGACGGAAAGACCCCGUGAACCUUUACUAUAGCUUGACACUGAACAUUGAGCCUUGAUGUGUAGGAUAGGUGGGAGGCUUUGAAGUGUGGACGCCAGUCUGCAUGGAGCGCCUUGAAAUACCACCCUUUAAUGUUUGAUGUUCUAACGUGGACCCGUGAUCCGGGUUGCGGACAGUGUCUGGUGGGUAGUUUGACUGGGGCGGUCUCCUCCUAAAGAGUAACGGAGGAGCACGAAGGUUGGCUAAUCCUGGUCGGACAUCAGGAGGUUAGUGCAAUGGCAUAAGCCAGCUUGACUGCGAGCGUGACGGCGCGAGCAGGUGCGAAAGCAGGUCAUAGUGAUCCGGUGGUUCUGAAUGGAAGGGCCAUCGCUCAACGGAUAAAAGGUACUCCGGGGAUAACAGGCUGAUACCGCCCAAGAGUUCAUAUCGACGGCGGUGUUUGGCACCUCGAUGUCGGCUCAUCACAUCCUGGGGCUGAAGUAGGUCCCAAGGGUAUGGCUGUUCGCCAUUUAAAGUGGUACGCGAGCUGGGUUUAGAACGUCGUGAGACAGUUCGGUCCCUAUCUGCCGUGGGCGCUGGAGAACUGAGGGGGGCUGCUCCUAGUACGAGAGGACCGGAGUGGACGCAUCACUGGUGUUCGGGUUGUCAUGCCAAUGGCACUGCCCGGUAGCUAAAUGCGGAAGAGAUAAGUGCUGAAAGCAUCUAAGCACGAAACUUGCCCCGAGAUGAGUUCUCCCUGACCCUUUAAGGGUCCUGAAGGAACGUUGAAGACGACGACGUUGAUAGGCCGGGUGUGUAAGCGCAGCGAUGCGUUGAGCUAACCGGUACUAAUGAACCGUGAGGCUUAACCUU
rnacentral:rRNA from 1 species